GGUUUCUUAGUGUAGCAGUUGGUAUGUCUGCUUUACACGCAAAGGGUCCUGGGUUCAAGCCCCAGUGGAGCCA
rnacentral:tRNA from 1 species